GACGAACGCUGGCGGCGUGCUUAACACAUGCAAGUCGAGCGGUAAGGCCCUUUCGGGGGUACACGAGCGGCGAACGGGUGAGUAACACGUGGGUGACCUGCCCUCAGCUCUGGGAUAAGCCUGGGAAACUGGGUCUUAUACCGGAUAUGACUCCAUGACGCAUGUUGUGGGGUGGAAAGCCUUGUGCGGCUGAGGAUGGGCCCGCGGCCUAUCAGCUUGUUGGUGGGGNGAUGGCCUACCAAGGCGACGACGGGUAGCCGGCCUGAGAGGGCGACCGGCCACACUGGGACUGAGACACGGCCCAGACUCCUACGGGAGGCAGCAGUGGGGAAUCUUGCGCAAUGGGCGAAAGCCUGACGCAGCGACGCCGCGUGAGGGAUGACGGCCUGG
rnacentral:rRNA from 1 species